GCCGUCGUAGCACAAUGGUAGUGCGUUGCCUUCCUAAGCACCUGCUAGGCAAAGGUUGCGGGUUCGAUCCCCGUCGUCGGUA